GAUGAACGCUGGCGGCGUGCUUAACACAUGCAAGUCGAACGAAGCAUUUGCGACAGAUUUUUUCGGAAUGAAGUUGCUUAUGACUGAGUGGCGGACGGGUGAGUAACGCGUGGGUAACCUGCCUUGUACUGGGGGAUAGCAGCUGGAAACGGCUGGUAAUACCGCAUAAGCGCACAAUGUUGCAUGACAUGGUGUGAAAAACUCCGGUGGUAUAAGAUGGACCCGCGUCUGAUUAGCUAGUUGGUGAGAUAACAGCCCACCAAGGCGACGAUCAGUAGCCGACCUGAGAGGGUGACCGGCCACAUUGGGACUGAGACACGGCCCAGACUCCUACGGGAGGCAGCAGUGGGGAAUAUUGCACAAUGGAGGAAACUCUGAUGCAGCGACGCCGCGUGAGUGAAGAAGUAAUUCGUUAUGUAAGGCUCUAUCAGCAGGGAAGAUAGUGACGGUACCUGACUAAGAAGCUCCGGCUAAAUACGUG
rnacentral:rRNA from 1 species